UACGUAGGUGGCAAGCGUUGUCCGGAUUUACUGGGUGUAAAGCGCGUGUAGGCGGCAGGCCAAGUCGGUGGUGAAAGCGCCCGGCUCAACUGGGCGAGGUCCAUGGAAACUGGUCAGCUGGAGGACGGUAGAGGCGAGUGGAAUUCCCGGUGUAGUGGUGAAAUGCGUAGAGAUCGGGAGGAACACCUGUGGCGAAGGCGGCUCGCUGGGCCGGUCCUGACGCUGAAACGCGAAGGCGUGGGGAGCGAACGGG
rnacentral:rRNA from 1 species